GGAAUUUUCCACAAUGGGCGAAAGCCUGAUGGAGCAACGCCGCGUGCAGGAUGAAGGCCCUUGGGUCGUAAACUGCUUUUAUGAUUGAAGAUUUUGACGGUAAAUCAUGAAUAAGGAUCGGCUAACUCCGUGCCAGCAGCCGCGGUCAUACGGAGGAUCCAAGCGUUAUCCGGAAUUACUGGGCGUAAAGAGUUGCGUAGGUGGCAUAGUAAGUAGGUAGUGAAAGCGUGUGGCUCAACCAUACUCACAU
rnacentral:rRNA from 1 species